rnacentral:misc_RNA from 1 species
AUUAAAGAACGCUUUACUUCGGGUCUUCAAUUCAGAAAAGGCACCAUGGAAAGGUAAUGUCAUUCUCAAUUCCAUUAGCAGUUACCUUAAUUCUCUCCUUGGGAUUUCUUUUGUUCAUGUUCUGCGGGAAGCAAAUAAUGUUGCACGAAGAAUUCAUGUCGCUUUUUUUGGUUGAAUUGGGUGGUGGAGCCUUCAGGUUCUUUUGCCUACCCAAUUGGAACCAUGUUUCAUCCUGGAGGCCUGAUGUUUUGGUUAUUUUGCUCACUCAUGCUAUUGCCUUUUUGGCUCUUUGUUUCCUUUUCUUUUGUCGGUUCCUUGUGCUCUGUUCUUUUGCUGCGUUUGUAUUUAUGGCUGCUUUGGAGUUUUUGGUGUUAUAGUUGCUUUUGUACUGGUUUCAUUUCAUCUUUUGUUUCGUAUAUUUUCAGGUUUUUUCACUUGGCAUUCAUUGUUAUACGCUGGGUGUAAUGUUGAAGUUUGAUAACCGGUUAGUAAUUGGAUAAUAUUUGCUAAGUAUUUUCUGGAUAUUUGAUUAAUAAAAAUAAUUUGCUUAUAAAAAUAAUUCUUGAAAAAAAAGAAAGAAA